AGAGUUUGAUCCUGGUGCUCAUGAAUCAACGCUGGUCGGCGGUGCCUAACACAUGCAAGUCGCACGAGAAAGGGACUUCGGUCCUGAGUACAGAUGGCGCACGGGUGAGUAACACGUGAAUCAUCUACCUCCGUAGUGUGUGUGAAUAACUGAAGUAGAAAUCUUAGACAUACACUACCGUCAUAACUACUUACAGCAGUUCAUAAGACAGCAAUGCGCUUGGUAGAGGAGUUCUGCGGCAGAUUAGUUAUGUUGGCGGGGUAUAGUGGUCACCACACAAGACGAUGAUCUGUAUCCGGCACUGAGUAGGGCGCACGGACACACUGGAACUGAAACACGGUCCAGCACUCCUACGGGAGGCAGCAGNGGGGAAUUUUGCGCAAUGGGGGAAACCCUGACGCAGCAACGCCGCGUGGAGGAUGAAAUCCCUUGGGAUGUAAACUGCCUUUCGAUAGGGAAGAUAAUGACGGUACCUAUAGAAGAAGCCCCGGCUAACUUACGUGCCAGCAGCCGCGGCAAUACGAGGGGGGCAAGCGUUGUUCGGAANUAUUGGNCGUAAAGGGNGCGUAGGCGGUUUGACAAGUCUCAUGUGAAAUCUUCGGGCUCAACCCGAAGUCUGCAUGGGAAACUGUGCGGGCUUGAGUAUUGGAGAGGUGAGUGGAAUUUCGCGGUAGUAGCGGUGAAAUGCGUAGAUAUCGGAAGGAACACCUGUGGCGAAAGCGGUCACUGGACAAUAAACUGACGCUGAUGCACGAAAGCUA
rnacentral:rRNA from 1 species